rnacentral:rRNA from 2 species
GACAGAGGGUGCAAACGUUGUUCGGAAUUACUGGGCGUAAAGCGUGUGUAGGCGGUCUCAUAAGUCGGGUGUGAAAGCCCCGGGCUCAACCCGGGAAGUGCACUCGAAACUGCGAGGCUAGAGUACUGGAGAGGUUGGUGGAAUUCUCGGUGUAGAGGUGAAAUUCGUAGAUAUCGAGAGGAACACCGGUGGCGAAGGCGGCCAACUGGACAGAUACUGACGCUGAGACACGAAAGCGUGGGGAGCAAACAGG